AACUAACAAGGAUUCCCCUAGUAACGGCGAGUGAAGCGGGAAGAGCACAAAUUUAAAAUCUACCUGGUUUUCAGGUCGAGUUGUAAUUUGAAGAUACGUUUUUGACGUUCCGGGUUGGACUAAAUCCUUUGGGAUAAGGUAUCAUGGAGGGUGAGAAUCCCGUAUAUACCAACCAUAGGGAUGUUAUUUAAUACGUUUCUAAGAGUCGAGUUGUUUGGGAAUGCAGCUCUAAAUGGGUGGUAAAUUUCACCUAAUGCUAAAUAUAAGCGAGAGACCGAUAGCGAACAAGUACAGUGAUGGAAAGAUGAAAAGAACUUUGAAAAGAGAGUUAAAUAGUACGUGAAAUUGUUGAAAGGGAAACGAUUGAAGUCAGUCAUGCCNGUGGGAAUCAACUUAGRGGAAACUCURAGUGCACUUCUUCGCUUGGCAGGUCAACGUCGAUUUUGGAUGUCAUAAAAUGAUUGGGGGAAGGUAGCUCCUUCGGGAGUGUUAUAGCCCUUGGUAGAUGUGAUGUCUGGGAUCGAGGAUUGCAAUGGAUACCCUUUGGGGCUAGCCGYCUGAUCUCUAAUUGGUAUUGGGUUACGGAUAGCAUGCUGACCGUGAUCUAAUUAUUGGUUAAAAGGUUAGAGCGUGCAUAAAUUCAUUAAGGACNUUGACNUAAUGGCUUU
rnacentral:rRNA from 1 species